AGUCAGAUAGCUCAGCGGGAUAGAGCGUCCCCCUCCUUAGAAGAAGGCCUGAGGUUCGAAUCCUCAUCGGGCAA
rnacentral:tRNA from 2 species